rnacentral:lncRNA from 1 species
AUUGUUUGUUAUUUUCAAGAUAAAAAAACAAAAGUCAAUACUAUAAACUUGACCUUGAGGGAUUUAUCAUUACCUUGACCUCAUUUUCUUAUGAGAAAUACUUAUAAAAAUCUCAUGCAAGAAAAAAGAAUCCUGUUAAAAGUGCGCAGAAGUGCAAUUACUGUUCGAUAUCAUAUAUGCCAAAUAUCUAAGCAAUAUCUUCUAAAAUCAUAUAUAUGAUAUAUAUAUAUUAUAUUACGCAAGAAAUUAAAGUUACAGAGGGAAAAUGAUUAUAGAACUAUUUGAAAAACUUGACAAUAUCUGGGACAUGACUUUGACCCUACACAGGUCAUUGGUCCCAAAUGGUAUUUCAAAAUCUCCAAUAUGUCUUUUGGGUUAAGAUUUCGUGCAAAUUAAUUUUUUAGAAACCCUUACUGAGGAUCAAAUAUCUCGGUCAAUAAAUUACAAAGUUGCACCCGGAUGACCCAAACUUUUUCCACUAUUCAAGACUUAUGUCAGUGUUAUGGUUUCUGACAUAUCCAUUAAUAAGGUAAAAGGUCAAAGGAUAAGGUCAACCAUAACAGCUGUCAAACAUUUACAACAUUGGAAUAGGGUUAAAAACACAUUAUCCUUUAUCCAGGACAUUGGUCUCCGCUUUCAUUACAAAAGACCCAAUGGGUCUAGGAUCUUUUUGUCUUUUUCGAAAACCGCCUUCUGAAAAGGUACAUUAAUUUUACAUAAAAAAAAAAAACAAACGUAUCGUGAUUUCAAAAAUAUUAAUCGUUGUAAAACUUGUGUUGUUAGGGUGCUCUCUCGUACGAUUUACUCAAUAUUUCCUUUUCUGUGUGCCAUACUAGUAAUGAGGAUCCGGUUAAGUGAUGUAUAGUAAGAUUAAAAUCUAAUAUGAAAUGUUGAAUAUCUAAAUAAAGGCAACAGUAGUAUACCGACGUUCAAACUCAUAAAUCCAUGGACAAAAAACAAAAUCGGGGUAACAAACUAAAACUGAGGGAAACGCAUUAAAUAUGUCACCAUGCAGUGUUGCAGUAAUUUCUCAACAACAAAAAACUGUAAAACAACAACUGUUUAAAUGUUCAGUAGUUUAUGCUGCAAUUGUCGUGCAUGUGCUGGUCCCAUAAUAAACCAUAUGUUCAGUUUAUUCUCGACUCGACGAAGUUGAUCAUAGCGACGACGGAGUCAACAAUUUUCAAAGUUUGUUCUUAUAUAAUUGUUAAAGUGUAAGUCAAUGACAAUUUGUUUGCAGUUGUAUUAGGCAUUAGCACAUCUCAUUUCCAUGGAAAUUUUAUAUGACCCCGUUUAUCCACCAGUAAUGGUAACUUAAUUGCAUUCGAAACUUUUCCAUGUUAAAUUAUGUGAUUCGGUUAUUUUGAGAUGAAUGUCAACUUCUAACAAGGCAUUGGUAAUUUCUUAUUUAGUUGUAUUCGUAUUUAAAGUUAGUGUGUAUCAUUGCAGAAGACAUUGUUUCGCACAGUAACUGUUCAUUUACUUUGAAAUUUUGGCAAUGUUUUCAUCUUUAGAUUUAGCAUGAUCGUUUGCAUUCAUAUUAUCAAAAUUACAUACAUAUUCAUAUAUUAUACAUGUUAUAGUUGAGACAAAAUACCGCAUGUUCAACAAAAUGUCAGUUAGUUUCCUAUCAAAUGGGACUUUCUUGAUAAAUGCCUUAUCGAAUAAAGCUAGUAUGUAAGAAACAGAUACAUAUCAAUACAGCCGUUCAGAC